rnacentral:rRNA from 1 species
AUCGUGCUACCUCCUACCCAAUGUGCAGCGGUUUGACGUCUUCGUUUCCUCGUCCGCGCCGGGAACUAUUCAACCUUCUAGUUGCUGUUCAACGAGUCCCUGAAAACUUAAUAGUUACAACUUUCAACAACGGAUCUCUUGGUUCUGGCAUCGAUGAAGAACGCAGCGAAAUGCGAUAAGUAGUGUGAAUUGCAGAAUUCAGUGAAUCAUCGAAUCUUUGAACGCACAUUGCGCCCCUUGGUAUUCCAUGGGGCAUGCCUGUUCGAGCGUCAUUUGUACCUUCAAGCUCUGCUUGGUGUUGGGUGUUUUGUCUCGCCUCCGCGCGCAGACUCGCCUUAAAACAAUUGGCAGCCGGCGUAUUGAUUUCGGAGCGCAGUACAUCUCGCGCUUUGCACUCAUAACGACGACGUCCAAAAGUACAUUUUUACACUCUUGACCUCGGAUCAGGUAGGGACA